ACACGAUUAUCUAGUCAUCACGUCAUUAAAAAGUUCAGUUUUAUUGUUACGUUAUACCAAAUGGAUUGUAUUUUGGAAUAAUAUAGGAACAAUGGUGCAUAAAUCAACUAAAAUGUUGCCGAGGAUCUUCUCUCCUUCGAGAGACUGUUGGGGGAAAAAAUACGACAUCAUGUCUCAAACAAUAUUUACAAUGGUUUACUUUCUUACUUACUGUGAGUAGGACCUAUCUUUUUAGAAAGGAUUGAACAUCGCACUCACUCCAUCAUACAUCAUUUCUACAAAUUUUAGCAUCUUUACAGAAG